rnacentral:lncRNA from 1 species
AUAAACUAACAAAUUUACUACUGAUUGAACAUAAAACACAACUCGAUUAGUGUUCAACUAUUAACACUCUAACCAAUUGAGAGGAUAGACAGUCCUUAUAUUGUCCAGAUAGAGAUUCAAACAAGUCAAAUUAGCAUGAAUGAAUUUAAUUAAACAGUUUCUAGCUCAGUACCACAAACUAAUGCGAAACUAUGGAGAUAACUGAAGCUUCCAAGAAUGAAUUUAAUUAAAAAGUUUCUAACACAGUACCACAAACUAAAACGAAACUAUGGAGAUAAGUGAAGCUUCCAUUGACAUUGUGUCCCAUUUUAUUUCAAU